UAAGGAGUGUGUAACAACUCACCUGCCGAAUGAAGUAGCCCUGAAAAUGGAUGACGCUUAAGCGGGUAGCCGAUACUACGCCGUCUAAAAAAUUUGAUUUUAGAUGAGUAGGGGGGCGUGGUGAUCGUAUCGAAGCACUGCGUGCAGACGUGUGUGGAACGGUCACUAGUGCAGAUCUUGGUGGUAGUAGCAAAUAUUCAAGUGAGAACCUUGAAGGGCGAAGCGGGGAAGGGUUCCAUGCGAACAUUGAUUGGGCAUGGGUGAGUCGUACCUAAGCCGAGUGGCAAUUGCUUACUCACGCGGCGAAAGGGAAGCGGGUUGAAAUUCCCGCACACGGAUGUGGAAGCGGCGACGCAUUACUGGGGCGGUGACGUUGGCAGUGGCGCUGGGCAGAGUUGUCUUUUCUGUUUAACCGCCUGACGCUUGCACUGUGGAAUCCGCUUGUCGGGAGAAACAGGCAAGGCACGGGUAGAGCGCCGGGCUUUUUCCGGCGUCCAGCUCGCCACUGACGGCCCUUGAAAAACUGUCCUCAGAUAUUGAACUCCACGCCGUGGCGUACCGAUAACCGCAUCAGGUCCCCCAGGUG
rnacentral:rRNA from 1 species